rnacentral:lncRNA from 1 species
UAAACCUAUAGUUACUCCCCUUUAUGACCUACAACCCUGAAUCCUGUGGAGGAGAGAUGGAUCGAUUAUUUGUGACUUUUCGUGAUUGGGGUUUGGUGGUUGGAAGGGGUUCUAAAUGAGAUUAUGUCUACUGUAUAAAAUUCGUCCUAAAGGAUUAACGGAAAUGCUACUAUCUCCACAAUUUCAGCCCUUGCUUUCAAAGAAAUUUUUGCAAGACUGCCAGUUGGAAUAAGUAAUUAACACUUCAGCUCAGCUCUGAAAGGGGAAAACAACUGUGGCAUACAAACUCCUGCCAAAGUCAGUUCUCUCACCCAGAAACUGCCUGAAAUACUCAUCAGGGUACUUUCAAUUUUGCUAAAAGAGAAAAGAAAAAAGGCAAAAUGAUCAAAAUGGAAGUUCACCGUCUUAUCCCUAUCAACUGUUAGACAAAAUUAAGAUGGAGAAAAUGAGUGCACCGAAGCAGCAUGUGUCAACAUGGAAGGAUUUCGCUGACGUUGUAUUGAGUGAAAAAUAGAAAGUUACAAAAGCAUAUGAGCAAUAUAAUAAAACUCAUUUCAAGGAUUAAGAAC